rnacentral:rRNA from 1 species
CCUACGGGCGGCAGCAGUGGGGAAUAUUGGACAAUGGGGGGAACCCUGAUCCAGCCAUGCCGCGUGUGUGAAGAAGGCCCUCGGGUUGUAAAGCACUUUCAGUGAGGAAGAACGCCUGGUGGUUAAUACCCAUCAGGAAAGACAUCACUCACAGAAGAAGCACCGGCUAACUCCGUGCCAGCAGCCGCGGUAAUACGGAGGGUGCGAGCGUUAAUCGGAAUUACUGGGCGUAAAGCGCGCGUAGGUGGCUUGAUAAGCCGGUUGUGAAAGCCCCGGCUCAACCUGGGAACGGCAUCCGGAACUGUCAAGCUAGAGUGCAGGAGAGGAAGGUAGAAUUCCCGGUGUAGCGGUGAAAUGCGUAGAGAUCGGGAGGAAUACCGGUGGCGAAGGCGGCCUUCUGGACUGACACUGACACUGAGGUGCGAAAGCGUGGGUAGCAAACAGGAUUAGAUACCCUUGUAGUC